rnacentral:rRNA from 1 species
UAGUCAUAUGCUUGUCUCAAAGAUUAAGCCAUGCAUGUCUAAGCACAAGCCGAUUUAUGGUGAAGCCGCGAAUGGCUCAUUACAACAGCCAUAGUUUCUUAGAUCUUACUUUUCUACUUGGAUAACUGUGGUAAUUCUAGAGCUAAUACACGCAAAAAAGCUCAGACCUUACGGAAUGAGCGCAUUUAUUAGAACAAAAACCAAUCGGGCUUCGGUCCGUCAUUUGGUGAAUCUGAAUAACUUUGCUGAUCGCACGGUCUUCGUACCGGCGACAUAUCUUUCAAAUGUCUGCCUUAUCAACUUUCGAUGGUAGUUUAUGCGCCUACCAUGGUUGUAACGGGUAACGGAGAAUAAGGGUUCGACUCCGGAGAGGGAGCCUGAGAAACGGCUACCACAUCCAAGGAAGGCAGCAGGCACGCAAAUUACCCACUCCCGGCACGGGGAGGUAGUGACGAAAAAUAACGAGACGGCUCGCUAUGCGGUCCGUCAUCGGAAUGGGUACAAUUUAAAUCCUUUAACGAGGAUCUAUUG